rnacentral:rRNA from 1 species
AGCUACGGCCAUGCCGCCCUGAACAUGCCCAAUCUCGUUUGAUCUUGGAAGCUAGGCAGGGUCAAGCCUGGUUAGUACUUGGAUGGGAGACCACCGAAGAAGACCAGGUGCUGUAGGCA